GCAUCUUUGGUAUUAUAAAAUCCAGCCAUAGCAAAGGAAUUUGGUACAAUAAUGCAUAUUAGGGAAGUACACACAAAAGAUAUGGCACAUAAUGGGAGUAAUGCCAUGUUUAGAUUCAACCUCUAAUUGGUGACUACUAAGCACUCUCUGAGAGUCUUGGUGCAGUGAAGGCAAUAGAUCAAGUGCCCCAUCCAUGGCCAAGUCCAUAUGCGUCCAUGUAUCCCGCUGCAUGAGCAUGACCGUGAUGGUGAUCAUGGCCACCAUGACCGUGAUGGUGAUCAUGGCCACCAUGACCAUGAUGAUGGUGAUGGUGAUGGUCACCGUCUUUUGCUUCAUCCAACAUUUUCUGGAUAUGCUCUGGUAUAGGUUCUUCUUCACCUUUCCUAAUUGAUUUUGGUAAAGAGGAUACAAACUUUACAAUAUUCUCAGCUAGCUUAUCUGCAGCAUCUUCCUGCGNNNGCCCACUGGAGUGAGAAACAAAUAUUGCAUGUGGAAGUGCCUCAGCUACCCUGCGCCCCUCCUCACUCCACUCGUUGGACCAACUGUUAGACCACAUCACCUGCAUUGGCAUUUCCUUUAUCCCGUCCAAACCACCCCAUUCUGCUAUACUAAAGCUAGAAUUCAACUUCUUUCCCGUAUCCACAACUGCUCUCCUCCCAUCCCUUCCUUUCAGAAUCACUCUAUGUGCCUCCAAAUCCAAACCACCAAUCCCCCUAGAACAACACAAGUGAAUCAAUCUCUCAUAUGCAAAAUUUGAUCCCAACACAAUCUCUCUAAUUACUGGCAUUUUCAAAACCCACAAAGGCAAAGCUGGUCUUGACCCAAUAUCUACAAGAGUGAUGCUUCUAACCAAAUUUGAGUUCUCCAAAACCCAAUUUGCCACCAUUCCUAAGCUUGAAUCAUGCAAAACCAAAUGCACAGGGGCUAACCCCAUUGUUUCAAUCACUUGUUCCAAAAUUCUGCCCAUUUCUUCACUGCCCAAUGCAAUAGGCUUAACCACACUCUUUAAUUUAUUAUAAUGAGCCACAAUUUCCUGAUGAGGAACCUCACCUGUUUCAACCAUGUUAUCAAAAACCCAAAACAGACCCUUCUCUUUAAUCAAACCAUACGCAUCCAAUAACCUCUCCAAAAUCCCAUUUCCUCUCUCCUCAGACACCUCUACUGACUUAUCAGAGAAUCCAUUCCCAGGCAAAUCAAACACAACUCCAUGAAUCUCUUUUGAGCCCAAAAAGUCAAUCACUUUCCUAAAAGAAAAAGAACUGAGACCCAAGCCAUGAAUAAUCAGUACCUUCUCAGUCACAUAACCCUUGCUCCUGCUUUCCACUGCGAAAAUCUCGGUAGGUGGUAGGUUCUGGGCUAGCUGGACUUUAAUGGUACGUCCUUUAGAGUAGUGUUGGCGCAGAGGGGUCGGAAGGGAAAGGAAAAAGGAUCUGGGGUCUGAAGAGGAAGAGGCAGAAGAGAGAAUGACAGUUGCGAGAGUGAUUAGAGAGACUGAAAGAGUGAAGUAAAACCAGAAAAUGAAUGGAUUAUUUCGUGCUUGUGUGUGGGGUUCUGGUUUGGGUUUUGGAUUUUUGGGCGGCAAAGUUGGUUCCUUUUUAACUUUUCGAGGCUGUGGCUCUGGUUCUUCAGUGAUUAUUGCCAUUGGAGCGGAGGAACUGCAAA
rnacentral:misc_RNA from 1 species